AAUUUUGCCUUGUUUCGAUCGGCUAAUUCCUUUUUGUUCACGUGUUACAUGGUUGCCCUGAUAACAAAGGGCGGAGUUACUGUCUAACAAUAAAAACCUCUAAACAUAAAGGCUCAGCAGGUGUACACAAGGAUAGAAUCCAAGCCCACGCUCAGUAAGAUUGUGGGAGCAUUGUUGAGGACAAAGUAACUUCCAAAUAGAAACGGCACCCGCCAAGUGUGAGCAGUAGAAGAAGGAGCAACAUGGUGUGAGUUCUUAUUAACGCCUGCGGCUAUGUGGCACGGAAGAUCUCUGCUCUUUGUGGGGGCAAGGGUGAAGAUCGAGUGGAGUCUGAGUCAACUCCAGCCGCAGUCAAACAGGCAAAGUAUCCAGAUGUAGAUCAUGAAAAAGCGCAAAUUCAAAACAAGCCAGUCCACAAGGAGAUGAUAACUGCUAGGCGUUCAGCUGCACAAUGUCACCCCUGAGGGUAAAGAAUAGCUCCAUGUAAAGGGGGCUCAUCUUCAGCUUUUUCCUCAGUGUAUUUUGGGAAUGUGAUUGCUUUUUCAACAGUAAACCAUGAGAGAAACCAUUGUUCUGGUACAGUGAUUGAUGAAGGCUUGUUCACAACCUCUCAUUGCAGAAAUGAACUUGUCUGAAAAUACUUUACCUGUACCUGUAAAACAGCAGAACCUAGACAUUUUCAGAUGAUACUAUUAAUUUUCUGUUAGACCACUGCAGUAUGUGACUGUAAUGUCCUGAAUUAAACUCUUUUGCUUUUUCAAUCUCAUCACUGAUAGCACCUGCUCCAAUGAAGUUUAAAAGCCUGCUCCACAUUAGUCACACAUCACUUCUGUUUUAUUCAAUCAUCACUUUCCCGUAUGGACUUCUUUGGCUAAAGUAGUGCUGGUGUUUGAAAUCAGAAACUUGACUCCUGUAAUAACUAUUCUGCUAAAAUCUACCUUCUGGAAGACAGUAAAAGUUUAACUGGGCUCCUUAGAGCUUAGUUGCAGGAAACAAUUGAGCAAACAUUUCUGCCAUUAGGUUGAUAUUUUUUCUGCCAUUAUAGCAUUCUUAGUUAACAUCCAACCAUUAAAGUCAGUGCUUAUGUUUAAAACACUAAGCAAGGUCAGUGUUUAAGUUUAAACCAGUAAGAAAACAUUCUGACCACCUGUUCUGUGCAGCAAUCUGAACCGUUAUUUGAUUGGAUUCUUGCUCUGAACCAAUAUAAAUAUCUACAUCAUUGCUACCUCAAAAAGCAGAAACAUUUUAAAAUACACAUCUCCACCUCUUCCAUAUAUCUGGGGGCAUGAAAAAAAUGCUCAACUUGGUGAAGUUAGUAUGCGAGAAUAUGGACACCUAAAAACCAAUCUAAUUAUUGAAAAUUUACUUUUUUGAACUAAUUCAUUGAGUGGACAUUACCUUUUUUCUAGAUGAUUAUGAUAGGUAUUUUAUUUUCAAAGUUAAUUCUUUAAACAAAUUGAAAUAUUCAUAUCUUAACCAAAUAGAAUUGGGAAGAUGGUUCUAUUAAGUACAAUAUGGCAAUGAUAAUUUACCGCUCUUGUCAUCCUGUUCUUGGAGUUCUGAGCUGUAACAGAUGCUGGCGAAAUUAAAUGUCCCACUUGUAUGCUGAACACUGCACAAUACUGAAUGCUUGCUUGCUAAAUACUGCCAAAUAUUGAACUCCACUCUUUCAGUGCAGACCAUUUCAAUGCAAACAUGUUGUGUUGCUUUCCAUUCUGUCAAUCUUAUAUAUUUGUCAUCUCAAUUUGUAACACGUUUUAAUGAAAUACCCAUCACUAAAAUACAAAAGAAAACAAUUUUAAGCUCUUGAAUUUUAACUGUCUUUAUAAUUAUGAUGCUUUCUCAACAUGUCAUAUUUUUCCUCAUAAAUAAUCAAUAAAUGUAGGAAUAACGACA